GACGUAGGGGGCCAGCGUUGUUCGGAAUUACUGGGCGUAAAGCGUAUGCAGGCGGAUCGUUAAGUCGGGGGUGAAAUCCCGAGGCUCAACCUCGGAACUGCCUUCGAUACUGGCGAUCUUGAGUCCGGGAGAGGUGAGUGGAACUCCGAGUGUAGAGGUGAAAUUCGUAGAUAUUCGGAAGAACACCAGUGGCGAAGGCGGCUCACUGGCCCGGUACUGACGCUGAGAUACGAAAGCGUGGGGAGCAAACAGG
rnacentral:rRNA from 1 species